CGCGCUAGGGUCACUUUUGAGAUCAAGAAAGCUUUGUUCUUUUGCUGUUUAUAAUAAAACCUGUUGCUGCUCGCUCUUUUGGGUUCUGACUGCGUUUAUGAGCUGUAACACUUACCACAAAGGUGUGUAGGUUCACUCCUGAAGCCUGUGAGACCACGAAUCCACCGGGAGGAACGAACAACUCCAGAUGUGGUGCCUUAAGAGCUAUAACACUCACUGUGAAGGUCUGCAGCUUUGCUCCUGAGCUAGCUAGACCACGAACCCACCAGCAGGAAAAAACUCCGAACACAUUUGAGCAUCAGAAGGAACAAACUCUGGACACGCCGCCUUUAAGAACUGUGAUAUUCACUGCGACAGUCCGCGGCUUCAUUCUUGAAGUCAGACCAAGAACCCACCAAUUCCGGACAUAGGAAUACUAGCAGGGACUUUCUGGACAUUCGGCUCGGAGUUGGUUAGUUGUUCAGGAUGGUUCAAAGGUUUUGGCAGAGUUCAAAGACUGGGAAGCAAAGUUCAGCCAUGUUGGGCCUUUGGGCUCAUAGAUGAGCAAGGGUACCCCAAUAUGAGGGCUCAGCAAAUUCUGGAACUUAUCAGUUCUGAAGACCUUUAGAGGAGAAGGAGACAAGUAAAAGGUAUGUAGUCCUGGAGGGCGCUGCUUAAUGAACCAGAAGUCCUGCCUCUUAAGUACCUCACCAGCUCAAAUGUGUGCAUGUCACCUUGGCGUGAAUCGGAGCAGGCGCUGGUGGAUACCGUUUGGAGGCAUGCCAGCAAGGAGCUCCUUGUGUAGCCUGCCUCUGGAGCCUCAAGUUCAACUUCCAUAGGGCCAAAAGGGGAGUCGGGCUGGGCAGAAGCUCCUGAGAACCAAAGCAAAUGGUCUGAGAGUCUGAGAGUGUAGUGGAGGUAACGUGUUCGUGUCCUCUCUGGCUGCAUCACCCCAAGUCCUUGCAGACUCAAGUAGCCUAUUUGCAAGUUUAAAUAGUUUGAGUCCUGGCCGGUAACAAGAAUACUCUACAGUGGCCCAGAGUCAGGGAUAUAGAGUGGCGACUACUUGGCAGAACUGGAGCUUGCUCAGAUGAAAAGAUAAAUUGUACUGGUUAAACGAAGAUCAAGUGCAGGGUCUGGACUUUGUUUCUAUCUUUCAUGUGGACUCUAUAAGCACCUACACACAGCAUUCUAGAAACACUGCUCCCAUCCCUCCUGUCUCAUGUCAUCCUCCCAAUUCCGGGAGUUGGGGGGCAUACUCUUUCCCUGUGUCAUGUGAGAAAUUCCUUUCUCAUGGGAAGCAGGUGGCAUUCCUGGACUCUCCUUGGCCUGGCCGUUGGUAAGCACAGGAAUUCAAGGUGUCUGAAUCUCUUGUCAAAGGUGGGCUGUAAGGCUCCAGAAGAGGAGGACAGAAAGUGCCUGCAGAGCUCCUGCCUGAGGCCUUUGGAUGGGCCCUGCUGGCUUGCCGUGUGUGUGUGUGUGUGUGUGUGUGUGUGUGUGUGUGUGUGGUGUCGUGCUUAUUUGCCCCAAAUGAGGCAAGAGAGCAGUGAUCAGGUGUCUCCCCAGCAUCUAGUUUCAUGAAGACAAUAGAAGUGGGUCGGAUCAGGCCUGCUGCCAUGCUUGGCUUGCCCAUGUCUCCUAGGAUUGGCUGCCUGGUGGCCAUCCCUUUGCCAUCCCCUUGACUGCCCUGUGAAUGAUGUCCACUCUGAGACCCCAGGCCACUCAGAAAAACUGAAGAUUCUCAAGUUCAGGUGCAGUUAGGGGGCAGGUCCUGGUGGUGGGGGAGCUUUGAUGUUCUGCAGUUGGAGGAUCCUCUUUCAGAAUAGUAAUGCAAUUUGUGAAUUAAUAAAAUUAGGUAUGCAAGAGGAUAUGUAGAAAAGAAAAAUCACAAGCUACACAAUUUUUAAGUUGACAAAACUACGAACAUCACAAAAUAAUAUGAUAUUUUAAAUUAAUUAUCUGCCUGGAAUACUCUGUCAUUUUUUUUUGAUCUUUUGCCUGCAUCGUCUUUGAUAGCAGUGUUUUUGAUAUUGCUUUUUAUAGAGAGACUCAAGAUAAUGGAGUCUACUCUGUUGUGGUUAAUUAAACAUUUUUUGGUGUUAUUCAUAGUUUGAGAUGUUUCUUUUAGCUUCUCAACCUGCUAUACAGAUAAAAAGCACUUUCAUGUCAGGUAAAUAUUUAGAAUUGUUGCCAAAUUUUAAAUUUCCUCCAUCAAUUUUCUUUCAUAUGUCAUAUAUGAGUUGUGAGAUUUGGAAGGAUAUUUCAGACCAGCUUCUGUAUCUAUUUUUUUCUCUAAUCACAUGCUACUGGUGGUGUGGACAGUAGUAGCACAUGACCAUAUCAGGACAUGAUCUAUCUUGGUGUCAUGGCUCUCAGUGAGUCUGCUUGGAGGGUAGUAGAAGUAUCCCUGGACGUCAUUCCUACACCAGGACAGCAAUAACUUAGCUCUCCAAGGAAGUUACUGUGAAC
rnacentral:lncRNA from 1 species